AGAGUUUGAUCCUGGCUCAGGACGAACGCUGGCGGCGGGCUUAACACAUGCAAGUCGAAGGAGAAGGUAGCUGCUUGCAGCUACUGGAGACUGGCGGACGGGUGAGUAACGCGUAGAUAACCUGCCUAUAUCUGGGGGAUAACAUCUCGAAAGGGGUGCUAAUACCGCAUAAUGCAGCGGGGCCGCAUGGCCACAGUUGUUAAAAGUUUCGGCUGGAUAUAGAGGGGUCUGCGUACUAUUAGUUAGUUGGUGAGGUAACGGCUUACCAAGGCGAUGAUAGUUAGGGGGUCUGAGAGGAUGAUCCCCCACACUGGGACUGAGACACGGCCCAGACUCCUACGGGAGGCAGCAGUGAGGAAUCUUGCGCAAUGGGCGAAAGCCUGACGCAGCCACGCCGCGUGCCGGAAGACGGCCCUAUGGGUUGUAAACGGCUUUUAAAUGGGAAGAACGAGAGGGUUUCGAUCUUCUGUGACGGUACCAUUUGAAUAAGCACCGGCUAACUCCGUGCCAGCAGCCGCGGUAAUACGGAGGGUGCAAGCGUUGUCCGGAAUCAUUGGGUGUAAAGGGUGCGUAGGCGGGAGCCUAAGUCUGUGGUGAAAUCUUGCCGCUUAACGGUAAAAUUGCCAUGGAUACUGGGUUUCUUGAGUACAGAAGAGGUCGGUGGAAUUCGUAGUGUAGCGGUGAAAUGCAUAGAUCUUACGAAGAACACCAGUGGCGAAAGCGGCCGGCUGGACUGUAACUGACGCUUACGCACG
rnacentral:rRNA from 1 species